UACAGAGGGUGCGAACGUUGCUCGGAAUUACUGGGCGUAAAGCGCGUGUAGGCGGGUCGGCAAGUCAGGCGUGAAAUCCCCAGGCUCAACCUGGGAACUGCGCUUGAAACUGCCGGUCUUGAGUAUCGGAGAGGGUGGCGGAAUUCCUGGUGUAGAGGUGAAAUUCGUAGAUAUCAGGAGGAACACCGGUGGCGAAGGCGGCCACCUGGACGAUUACUGACGCUGAGACGCGAAAGCGUGGGGAGCAAACAGG
rnacentral:rRNA from 2 species